rnacentral:snRNA from 1 species
CUUGAAAUUGGACGAUAUGCAGAGAAGAGAUGCGGAGAAGAGAUGCAUGGCCCCUGCGCAAGGAUGACGCACAAAUCAAGAAAUGGUUCAAUUUUUU